AUGAUUCCUUGCAUUAGCCUCUUUCCAAAUGCUCAGUUUUAUGACAGGAAGAUUUUACAUGGUUCAAAUGUCCUGUCUCCUAGCUAUGACAAGGAUUAUAUAUGCCUCCUGUAUGGCAGCUACACUCUUGUAAAUGUCACGGAUGGGAGGGAAGACAAGGAGGGCACAGGAAACAGUCGACGAAACAUGGUUGAAGUUGUUGUUGUUCUGCACCUCAUCCAAACCAUCUUUAGAUGUUGGAAAAGUACAGGCAAAGCGCUCAGCAUUGGUGUGGUCUCUUCGUAUGGUCUCAAGUUGACGCUAUUAAAGAUAGACUUGAUAAAAAAUACAACACAUGUGAUGGCUUUCAUGUGCACGUCAAGUCUAUUGAUGGUUUUCAAGGAGAAGAGGACGAUAUAUUAA
rnacentral:rRNA from 1 species